rnacentral:tRNA from 1 species
GGGGUUGUGGCUCAGUGGUGAAGCGCUCGUCUAGCACAUGUGAGGCACUGGGUUUGAUCCUCAGCACUGCA